rnacentral:rRNA from 1 species
GACAGAGGCCCCGAGCGUUAGGCGGAAUCACUGGGCUUAAAGCGUGUGUAGGCGGAUCGUUAAGUGUCUUGUGAAAUCCCACGGCUCACCCGUGGAACUGCUGGGCAUACUGGCGAUCUUGGGCCAUUCGGGGGGCGACUGGAACAAGCGGUGGAGCGGUGAAAUGCGUAGAUAUCGCUUGGAACGCCGAAGGUGAAAACAGGUCGCUGGGGAUGUGCCGACGCUGAGACACGAAAGCCAGGGGAGGCAAACGGG